rnacentral:misc_RNA from 1 species
UAUAAUUUCGAUACUUUUAAGUAAAUUAUCCAUGGCAGUAUUAUCAUAGAGCUUAGCCCCAUGUCCAGGAGCACCUACAGCCUUAACGACCAGCCACCAGGGGGACCUCUCUCCAUAGAAUGCACGAUAAUUGUCAGUGGGAGAGGCCAAGCCCUCGUCAAGAACAAUCCCAACAUUCAUCUUGGCAAAGACAUCUGAAUCAACAAACUUUCUGGCACCAUCAUUUCCACCGAUCUCCUCGUCGGGGAGGAAGGAGAGGUAGAGAGUGCGCAGGGGGCGGAAGCCAUAAGAUUUGAGUUUGCGAAUGGCCUCGAGGUACUGCAAGCCGACGCAUUUCAUAUCCUGAGAACCUCGGGCGAAGAUGUUGCCGGUAGUGGAAUCUAAGUGGGCAGAGAAAGGUGGGUGAGUCCACUUGUGAUGCUCGGAAGGGACAACAUCGGUAUGUGAGUUAAGGAGGAUGGAAGGGAGGGUAGGGUCUUUGCCUGGCCAUUUGAGGAGAAUUAGAGGUUUGCCCUUGACGAACUCAAGGGUCUGGGACUCGAGGGAUAGUAACUUGGCCUGUGAUAUUAUAAAUUCGGCAGCUUCAUAGUAGUUGGGGUGAGGUUGGGCUGUAUUGAUCUGAAGGUACUGCUGGAAUCUUGAUAGGAUUGUUGACGGAUCUUUAGCGGCCGUCCUAGUUGUGAUUAUG